UACGUAGGGUGCGAGCGUUUAAUCGGAAUUACUGGGCGUAAAGCGUGCGCAGGCGGUUAUUUAAGCCAGACGUGAAAGCCCCGGGCUUAACCUGGGAAUGGCGUUUGGGACUGGAUGGCUGGAGUACGGCAGAGGGAGGUGGAAUUCCACGUGUAGCAGUGAAAUGCGUAGAGAUGUGGAGGAACACCGAUGGCGAAGGCAGCCUCCUGGGCCAGUACUGACGCUCAUGCACGAAAGCGUGGGGAGCAAACAGG
rnacentral:rRNA from 1 species